UUUAUUUCACGACCCUUGCAAAGUUGCAAGUGCAGACCAUAGAUAAUAGAGUAAAUUAUCUAAAUAAUAAUAGAGUAAAUACUCUAUUAUCUAUGUGCAGACCAAAAACUCAGUGCUUACAGUUACAAAGAAGAGGAAACUAAAGAAAGAAAAGUUCAGUGUGAGGUCUUGGCCUCAGGACAGGAUCAAUUCAUAGCUAUGGCUACUAGUCAAGCUUGUUUAGGUGUUGAUGAUCUUGUUGAUGUUCUUGAUUCACUGAACAGAUGUGGGUUUCCUAAAGCAAAUUGGUAUGAUCUUGGACUGAGACUAGGAUUAAGGAAGAGUACACUGGACAUCAUAGAAAAGAAUCAUCCUCAUGAUGUAUCUCGUUGUAUGACAGAGUGCCUCUCCCAAUGGUUAGGUAGAGCUGACAAUGUUGACAGUAGAGGAGGAGCCAACUUGGACUCACUGUCAGAUGCUCUACAAUCUAUGAAUGAAACUGCUGUAGCUGAGAAGCUAAGUGAGUCAACCAUAACUGUAUGUAACUAUAAUCAUUGUAUUUUCUAUCAUAGAACAUCAUGUUCUUAUUAAUAUUUUUAAUAAUCGUCAUACUGUCCUCUUUGUGAUUCUGUUAGUAUUGCUUGGUUACUUUAUGGUGAACGUAUGUUAACACAAGAAGCAGUUAGUAGAGUGGUGUCAGCUAGUCCCUCUAUUCCUAAUCAACGUGAGGCUCUAUUAACUGGUGUCAAAGAAGCUGUUCAAUCUGAUCCCAACAGUUUACAUACAUUUGCUAAUGUAUUGUGUACAAUAAGUACUAAUGUAUCACUGGGACAAACUAUACUGGAUGAUAUUAGUGAGUAUUUUCCUACUCCUGAAGUGGCUGUGGUUCCUGAGACUAUUAAAGAUGACCAUAGUGUAGUUUCUCUAAAUAAUGCAAGUACUGAUGAAACCAAAAUACCAACUAAUCCACAAUCUGACACAUCUUCUGAUGCAAAAGUUGCCUCUUCCCAAUCCCAAGCUUUAUUACCUCAAGUUAAAAUACAUGUUCCUGUUCCUAAAGACUUACUGACAAACUUUAGCUCAAUGAGAAUGUCUUAUGGAAGGAUGUUUUACAAUGUUGGCAAAAUCAUUAAGCGAAAAUCUCCUCCUUUAGAAGAAAUAAAAGAAUUCCUUUCUUGUUGUGGCACUAUUCUUAGACAAAAAGCAGAGCAAUGUACUAAUAUUUCUAGUCUAUUGCGUCUUAUUCAAAAUGAGUGUUCACUGACUGAUAUUGAACUUCUUCAUAGUGUUGUGGAAGAAAUGGAGAUCACUGAAGCCACAACAUACAUUGAGGCAUAUAGAUUAGAGUUAAAGGAAUUCUGCAAGUCACUCUCCAUCAGUCUUUGUUUAAAGGAAAGAUUUGCUUCCAUUUCUCAUCUUCAAUGUGAAACAGUUACUUUUAUCUUUGAUUGGGAGCCAGAGGAACACAUACUGAAGGAUAUUAAGGAUAUACUAUCAAAAGUAUCUGGUAAACUGCUGAAGAUUGAGUAUAUAGAAACCUCCACUUCAAUAUGUGUCACUUGCUCCUUUCCUUUCUCUGAUGUUGGGUUUACUGUAUUGAGGAUGAUAGAGAAUAUUCACAUACUAAUGGGACAAGGAUUAAAGAAACUGACUAUUGGUAACUUAACAUUAUGGAGGAGACAAGAUGUUAGACAAAAGGAACUAAAAGAAAAGGAUCAAGAUUCAUUGCGACAUACAGAUGUCAGUGUACAUUUCAAAAUUAUAAUUAUGUCCAAGCAAUUUAAGACAUUUUUACACUAAAGCUUUCAUGCAUGUAUUUUUAGGUUACUUCUUAUAUUAUACUUGAAGAAGCUGAUCCUAAACUAAGAGAUGCUAUUAGUAUUGAAGAGAAGGAAACAAUUAAAUUAAAACAAGAACUAUCAAUGAUGAAAGUACUGGAGGAAGAAUCAUUGUCUGUUCAAAGUGAUACUGAAUCAAUUAAAGAAGUU